GCCUAGCCCUAAAUCUUGAUGCCUACCCUACCUAAGCAUCCGCCCGAGAACUACGAGCACAAACGCUUAAAACUCUAAGGACUUGGCGGUGUCCCAAACCCACCUAGAGGAGCCUGUUCUAUAAUCGAUAAUCCACGAUACACCCAACCACCCCUCGCCAGCACAGCCUACAUACCGCCGUCGCCAGCUCACCUCGCCUGAGGGACCUACAGUGAGCACAAUAGCCGCAAAUCCCGCUAACAAGACAGGUCAAGGUAUAGCCUAUGGGGUGGAAGAAAUGGGCUACAUUUUCUAAGAUAGACUAGAUCAACGGAAAGAGGUGUGAAAUCACCUUUAGAAGGCGGAUUUAGCAGUAAAGUGAGAUAAUUAAGCCCCCUUUAAGCCGGCCCUGGGAC
rnacentral:rRNA from 1 species